UACGAAGGGGGCUAGCGUUGCUCGGAAUCACUGGGCGUAAAGCGCACGUAGGCGGAUUGCUAAGUCAGGGGUGAAAUCCUGGAGCUCAACUCCAGAACUGCCCUUGAUACUGGCGGUCUCGAGUCCGGGAGAGGUGCGUGGAAUUCCCGGUGUAGCGGUGAAAUGCGCAGAUAUCAGGAAGAACACCCGUGGCGAAGGCGGCUCUCUGGGACGGUACUGACGCUGAGACGCGAAAGCGUGGGGAGCGAACAGG
rnacentral:rRNA from 1 species